CUACGGGAGGCAGCAGGGAGGAAUAUUGGGCAAUGGGCGAAAGCCUGAUCCAGCCAUGCCGCGUGAGUGAUGAAGGCCCUAGGGUUGUAAAGCUCUUUCGCCAGGGACGAUAAUGACGGUACCUGGAUAAGAAGCCCCGGCUAACUUCGUGCCAGCAGCCGCGGUAAUACGAAGGGGGCUAGCGUUGUUCGGAAUCACUGGGCGUAAAGCGCACGUAGGCGGAUCUUUAAGUCAGGGGUGAAAUCCCGAGGCUCAACCUCGGAACUGCCUUUGAUACUGGAGGUCUCGAGUCCGGGAGAGGUGAGUGGAACUGCGAGUGUAGAGGUGAAAUUCGUAGAUAUUCGCAAGAACACCAGUGGCGAAGGCGGCUCACUGGCCCGGUACUGACGCUGAGGUGCGAAAGCGUGGGGAGCAAACAGGAUUAGAUACCCCAGUAGUCC
rnacentral:rRNA from 1 species